rnacentral:rRNA from 1 species
UACGUAGGGUGCAAGCGUUAAUCGGAAUUACUGGGCGUAAAGCGUGCGCAGGCGGUUUUGUAAGACCGAUGUGAAAUCCCCCGGGCUUAACCUGGGAACUGCAUCUGAUACUGGAUGGCUUGAGUUCGGGAGAGGGAUGCGGAAUUCCAGGUGUAGCGGUGAAAUGCGUAGAUAUCUGGAGGAACACCGGUGGCGAAGGCGGCGACCUGGUCCUUUUACUGACGCUGAGGCGCGAAAGCGUGGGGAGCAAACAGG